rnacentral:rRNA from 1 species
UACAGAGGUCUCAAGCGUUGUUCGGAUUCAUUGGGCGUAAAGGGUGCGUAGGCGGUUUUGUAAGUCUUGUGUGAAAUCUUCAGGCUCAACCUGGAGACGCCACUCGAUACUGCCAUGGCUAGAGUCCGGUAGGGGACCACGGAAUUCCUGGUGUAGCGGUGAAAUGCGCAGAUAUCAGGAGGAACACCGGUGGCGAAGGCGGUGGUCUGGGCCGGCACUGACGCUGAGGAGCGAAAGCGUGGGUAGCAAACAGG